CCAUGUCCACCUGGACCCAGUGUAGACAAAGAGAUGUCCCCACUCCAUGUCCACCUGGACCCAGGGUAGACAGG
rnacentral:miRNA from 1 species